rnacentral:tRNA from 1 species
GGGGAGCUGGCUCAGUAGGUAGAGUACAUGCCUUCCAUGCAUGAGGCCUUGGGUUCAGUCCCUCUUCCUA